rnacentral:rRNA from 1 species
CCUACGGGCGGCAGCAGUGAGGAAUAUUUGUCAAUGGGCUUACGCCUGAACCAGCCAAGUCGCGUGAGGGAAGACUGCCCUAUGGGUUGUAAACCUCUUUUGUCAGGGCGCAAUUGGCGCUACGUGUAUCGUUAUCGAGCGUAACUGAAGAAAAAGCAUCGGCAAACUCCGUCCCAGCAGCCGCGGUCAUACGGAGGAUGCGAGCGUUCUCCGGAUUUCUUGGGUUAAAAGGUUGCGUAGGCGGAAUUCCAAGUCAUCGGUAACAUCGCGGGGCUCAACCGCGCUCCGCCGUUGAAACUGGCGUUCUUGAGUGGGCGAGAAGUAUGCGGAAUGAGUGGUGUAGCGGUGAAAUGCAUAGAUAUCACGCAGAACUCCGAUUGCGAAGGCAGCAUACCGGCGCCCAACUGACGCUGAAGCACGAAAGCGUGGGUAGCGAACAGGAUUAGAUACCCGAGUAGUC